GGCUCCCUUGACUUUACUUGUGCGAGUGGAGGCUGUCUUGACCGCGGUCUCUUAUCCAUGUUGACAUAGUGGAUUGGGCGUUUGUGCGCCACCUUGUCACGUGACCCUGCUGCUGCAGAGAGUCAUACAAGUGGUUUUCCGAAGGGGCGAGGGAGAGGGGAGGGAAGGCAAGGGACUAUUCGCGACUGCAGAGGUUGGCAGGAGGGGCGGGGGGAUAGACCGAUUCCUGACAACACAGGACAAACUGAUUCAAAACAAGUUCUAUUUCAAAAUGAACGGAGAGGUUACGGUCAUGUUAUGAUGUCGACGCCAAAGUGAAAGACCAAAGAAGCCCAGCUGCCAAGAAGCUGAGAAAUGGACCAAAGAAAAAGGGGCAAUUUUAGAGCAAGAGCACCCACGGGCCAAAAUGAGGAGUGAGACCCUUCACAGCAGCCACAAACAUGGUUCUACAGUCUCAGGAGGAGCCAUCUACCUCUUCAGCCACAUGUUCAUUUGCAGGACGAAUCAGAAAUCCCACCAAGUCCUGUGCCUGAUGAUGAGCCUCUCUGUCUGCUAACCCUGCUAAUUGGACUUAAGUUCUGACUGACAGAAUUUGGACGCACCUGAAUUUUAGAGGACCGAUGAAGAUAUUUCGACUGUGACACAUUCUGCAAAAAUGUCCACGACCUCUGUUAUUCGACCAACAAAACAAUAAAUCUUGGCGAUAUUCAAAGCAGCCCCACCUUCUUUCCUGUUUUAUAUUUUAGAAAUAAUUUCCUAUCCAUCACUUUAAAAAUCCAUGCGUCUUUCAGUUUCUGAUGCAGCAAUUAUGUUAAAGAGUUAUGUGAACUCAGUUAGACAAGAUUUGAUAUUAUGGAAGUUGGCAUAUAUUGUAGUCUUCUGCCGGUGUUAUAAUGUUCAUUUAUGUAAUAAUUGCAGGAAUUAUUAAACGCAUGAAAGAACUUA